GCAGCCUGCGGCGGCAUGACGUCACACGGUGAUAUCACAGCUCGCUUUCGGCCACGUACAUGCGAUACACCAGGGUGACGAUGACUGCCGCCGCCAGCGGAAUCAGCCAGUUGGGUAACCAGCUGCUGACAACAAAACAGGCGCACGCAUCCACAGACACACAAGACAAAGUGCAAAAUCACAUGAGUGUCCUUGACACAUGUGUACGGUCAGUCGGAGGCAUCCGCGGGCGGCAUACCGGGUGCAGUUCUCCAACGAGCAUCUGCUGGGCGACGGCGUGGGCGUCGGUGGAGUGUCCGACAUCCUCGAAGCUCUCGGUGGCGUCCCCGCCUGCGUGCUCCCUCAGGACCUCCUCGCCGCCCGGGUGCUGCCAACGCACACACCUGGACCUUGAACGCCUCGUAAAAACGCUGGCUUUGAUAACGCUUAUCCAAACAGAAACGCAUGCAGGCAAAUGAUGAGUGGUGCUGCCUGACGUGACCUCCAAAACCCCGGAAAGACACCCAAUGGCAACCUUCAGCAAAUGCUUCCAUUUGCUGCAGUUGUGUUUUUGUAGUUGUGUAUUAGUCUAGUUGUGUUCAGUGUUCUUGUAAUUGUUGUCUUUUUCUAGCUGUGUCAUGUUUUUCUAGCUGUGUCAUGUUUUUGUAGCUGUAUCACUGGAGCUGAAAUUGUUGUGUUCUCUCCGUUAUCUUGUUGUAAUUAUUGCGUCUCUGUAGGGUUGGUAGUUGUGUCCUUGUGAUCUUGGAGUUGUACUUGCGUUCAGUGAGGGCCGUAACAUGUUACCAAGUAACACAUUAACCUAAUAUAUUGAGUUGUCGUUCAUGGAUUCCCCUCACAUGUGUACGUGAAACAAAAUUAAUAAUUAACAAAUAAUUAAAUGCAUGAGGAGAGUAAAAUCCUAACUAAAGACAGAGCAAACAACUACAUGAUAGAAUACUUACCCGUCUACGGAAA